GAUGAACGCUGGCGGCGUGCCUAAUACAUGCAAGUCGAGCGAACGGACGAGAAGCUUGCUUCUCUGAUGUUAGCGGCGGACGGGUGAGUAACACGUGGAUAACCUACCUAUAAGACUGGGAUAACUUCGGGAAACCGUAGCUAAUACCGGAUAAUAUUUUGAACCGCAUGGUUCAAAAGUGAAAGACGGUCUUGCUGUCACUUAUAGAUGGAUCCGCGCUGCAUUAGCUAGUUGAUAAGGUAACGGCUUACCAAGGCAACGAUGCAUAGCCGACCUGAGAGGGUGAUCGGCCACACUGGAACUGAGACACGGUCCAGACUCCUACGGGAGGCAGCAGUAGGGAAUCUUCCGCAAUGGGCGAAAGCCUGACGGAGCAACGCCGCGUGAGUGAUGAAGGUCUUCGGAUCGUAAAACUCUGUUAUUAGGGAAGAACAUAUGUGUAAGUAACUGUGCACAUCUUGACGGUACCUAAUCAGAAAGCCACGGCUAACUACGUG
rnacentral:rRNA from 1 species